rnacentral:rRNA from 1 species
CCUACGGGAGGCAGCAGCGAGGAAUAUUGGACAAUGGGCGAGAGCCUGAUCCAGCCAUGCCGCGUGCAGGAAGACUGCCCUAUGGGUUGUAAACUGCUUUUAUACGGGAAGAAACACCCCCUCGUGAGGGGGCUUGACGGUACCGUAAGAAUAAGGAUCGGCUAACUCCGUGCCAGCAGCCGCGGUAAUACGGAGGAUCCGAGCGUUAUCCGGAAUCAUUGGGUUUAAAGGGUCCGUAGGUGGAUGGUUAAGGCAGAGGUGAAAUCCUGCAGCUCAACUGUAGAAUUGCCUUUGAUACUGGCCGUCUUGAGUCGUUGUGAAGUGGUUGGAAUAUGUAGUGUAGCGGUGAAAUGCAUAGAUAUUACAUAGAACACCGAUUGCGAAGGCAGAUCACUAACAACGUACUGACACUGAUGGACGAAAGCGUGGGGAGCGAACAGGAUUAGAUACCCUGGUAGUCCACGCCGUAAACGAUGGUCACUAGCUGUCCGGACUUUAAGUCUGGGUGGCUAAGCGAAAGUGAUAAGUGACCCACCUGGGGAGUACGUUCGCAAGAAUGAAACUCAAAUGAAUUGACGG